CUUGAUCUGAAAUCAGGUGGGAUUACCCGCUGAACUUAAGCAUAUCAAUAAGCGGAGGAAAAAA
rnacentral:rRNA from 1 species